GCGAAUCUGGGGGACUAUGCUGAGACUAAGGUUGGAACCGCUGAAGGACAACUAUCCUUAUGUGUAACAGUUCCAGUUGGCUGCAAUGAAAUUGUGUGGAAAGGAAAAGUGUCUUGGAUAUAAUACGGAUGUGGAGCUCCUACCUAUCAGAUGGAGAGUCAGGGUCGAGUCCGUAUGUGGUGGCACUGCCAGCUUGACUGGACUUUAUGGUCAACAGUUCCUCAGGACAGAGAAUGACUUUGCUUUAUUCUGGAGCUCUGGAUCCGGGUGAUUGAAUACCAACUUUUGCUAACACAGAACUGGAGAGAUGCCCUGGUGUGGUCUGGAUCCUAUUCUGGAGAGAGGAGACGAGGGUGUGACACGGUGGAUGUAGGUUGGAUGAUUCCCUGGGCUAGAAUGAGGGACAUUGUGUCAGAAUAAUAGACAAUCCAUUUAAGAUUGAGAUCAGGGGGAAUUUCCUCACACUGAAGGUCGGAACUGUCUAUCCCAGAGGGCUGCGGAAGCUCAAUCAUUGAGCAUGAUCAAGACAGAAGUCAAUCAAUUUCUGGAAGUUGAUAACAUCAAGGAUAUGAGGAUCAUGAGGAAAGUGGCACUAGUAAUUGAUUAGCUAUGAUCAUAUUGUGUAGUGGAGCAGGAUUGAUUGACAGAGUCGCUGACUUCUGCUGCAAUGUUCCUGUAAGUUUGAAAUAAAAGAUUUCAUCUCCUGAAUUGCAGUCUCUGUAAUAUCUUUAUUAAUUUGUCAUCAUAAAAAUUGCAACAGAUAUAGAUACGCACAAACACACAACAAUGUAGAGGGAUGCAUCUACCAGCAUAGUUAGAGAGAGAAAACUCAAUGCAUAAAAUGAGGUCUUAAAAUAAUUUGAACUUAAAUUACUCUUUUUCUGUUUCCUUCGCCUUGUAAUCAACCUUGCUUUUCUCCUUGUCAUUUGGCUCUUACCUCACCCACUCUGGACUUUUCAUUGCUGUGGAAAGACACCUAACCUCAUCAAAGAUCCCUCCUACUAUCUCUUCCACAGGCAGAAGAUACAAAAGCUUAAACACGUGCACCAGCAGGUUCAAGAACAGCUUCUUCCCCGCUGUUAUUACACAGACAAAUGGACCUCAAAAAUCUUAAAUCUAAUGUUGUUCUUGCUUUUUGUCCACCUUUGCAGCUGUAACUGCUCUGUUUAGUUACCCUGUGAUCUUUGUAUCUUUGUAUGUUAUGAUCUGCUGUAUUGCAUGCAAAACAGAACUUUUCACAGUACUUAGGUACAUGUAACAAUAAUAAAUCAAAUCAAAUCAAAUCAAAUGAUGGCCUCUAGGUGAUGUUGACUGCCUACCAGAGGGACAUCAUCUCAUCACUCCUUUUGGGACUUUGCUAUUUGCUACUUCUCAAGAAAUGAAUUGUAUGUCCCACUCUCAAAGAAUGUCACACAGAUUUUGUUGUACUCUCUAAAUUGCCAGCCUAUCCCUAGAGGUGCUAUAUGAUCUUCAAUCAUACUCAUUCUAAAUAAAUGCAAAACUCAUACCAAAACCUUGCAAUAAUUGUUUGAGGUAUUACAGAAAAAGA